UACUCCCUUGCUCAAGCGCAUGCCACUGACCCGAUGAUGAUGCACUCUCCAGAAUUGUCUAUCUUCUUUGUUUCUGUUAGAGAUUGCCAAUCUUUCGCUUCUUGUUGAUAUUAGUAUUUUCAGCUUUAGAGAAUGCUUCCUUUGUGGUCACCACUACAUGAGAUUUCUCACUCUUUUUACUCUGCUUCUUUCAUCAAAGAGGUUUUCUUUUUCUUCUCUUAUUAAAAACAAUAUGCAUAUUUCUUUUAGCCAUUUGGGUGAAUGGGUAUAUGUCGGAGAAUGGAUUUAAGGGGAUGAUGACUUGAUCCAAAAAAAUAUAUGUAUGCUAUGAUGGCUCGGAGACCCCAUUCUGACUUAACACUUUAUGGUUGAUUUGCAAGGUAAUAAUUGCUUUUGAUGGUAGAAUUAUUAAUCCCACUCGGUUGUGGCCUUAGUGAUCACUUGUUAUACCAAAGAUUUGGAGUCCGAGGAUAUAUACUUAAUCGGGUUGUGGCUGCUUUGAUUCAAGUCAAACUCGAAUGGCUACUACUGUAGGGGGUGAUACGGGUGACGGUGGUGUAGGCUUUUUGAUUUAAACGGAUAUGCAUCCAUGGCAGGAGGAUGUCAGUUUGUAGAUGACAGUGAUGUUGUAGAUACAUCGAGAUGCUGGCUCGAUGGCAAGAAGGACACUUCAUCACGUUGAAGCGGAUGUUGGCUCUUCGCUGGCAACGAUGAUUCUGACCAAUUUUUUUUAUAGAGAUAUCUGCAUUAUCCAUCCAUACGUAUUAUCCUUGGAGCAAUUUAAGAUGGUGUCUCUCUCAUAUUUGAAGCUCCUCGACAUUUCUCUUGCCGCAAUCCAUCAAGUAAUUAUGUCUCAUAUUUGAAGCUCCUCAACAUUUCUUUUCCUGUAAUCUUUCAAGCAAUUUAAGAUGCCUUAGCUCCUCAAUAUCUCUCUAGCUGGAGUAAUCCUUCAAACAAUCUAAGAUGCCUCAUAUUUUUCACGUGAAAAAUUAUUGUAUUUU
rnacentral:lncRNA from 1 species